GGGGAGUAAAACCAAUCUGUGCAUCAAUAAUCACAAAUUCAAACAAAAUGCAAAACCCAAGUAUUCUAGACACUAGCUAUGGUCAGAACAAAGUGUAGUGCUUGCAGAUAAAUACGCAUAAAAUUGCAUUUUAAAACUCCUGCAUCCAUCCCAGUUAUAAAUGACACAUGCAAUCAGGAACAGGGUAUGUAUGUAUAUAUUGACUGCUUCUCCUUUCUCAUUCUACUUUGCCCUUGUCUACUUUAAUGCCCAUUAAAAACUGCAAGCUGAAACUCUGACCAC
rnacentral:misc_RNA from 1 species